GUGUGAUCACUGAAACCAAUUUAUGAGCUUAAAAAUAAACAUUUAACUCUUUGUUUUAAAAUCUUGAUUUCUGUAGCCUUCUAAACAUAUUGUGACAUCUUAGAAGCUACUUAAUGAGGCGCUUCUUGACCUUUCUGUGUGGCAGAUGUCCCUUUGCUCCUAUGUCUCACACUCCUAGCAUUAAUCAUUCCCUUUAGAUUUUUCUGACUCUUCAGUAAUUCCACAACCUUUCUCCAAGCAAUGUAUACAUCACUCUUCCCCAUCUUUUUAUAUCAGCCUAUGUAUCUUUCUAAGGCAUAAUUUAAAUUCAUCAUUUAUUUAAAUUUAUUUUUGUUCCCUACUAUCGGGUAGGGAAUGUGAGGGAUCUAUAAAUAGUAGACUGAAUGGACUCCUGCCUGGAAGUAACUGUCACUCAUGCAGAAUAAGUCAUGUACACAGAUUGUUGUCAUACCAACUUGAAACAGUGUGGAAGUUUUUACUUACUGUAGAGGCAAUGAAAUCAGAGACAUUGAAAGAGGGAGCUAUCUCCUCCAGGUGGUCCACAGGAUGAUAAAGCCCAAGGGAAAGAAGCCAGAAGUAUGACCAGAUAGUCCUAGUGGUUGUAAAGGUAAGGCAAUGAAUUCAUGAAUAUUCACAUAUUCAGAAUGAAUUUCCUGGCCAGAGAGGAGAAAAUUCUAGAGUUGUACAUUCUGCAUUUACUAGGGUGGGUCUGUGUCUCUUGACCCCUCAUUUUUUUCCUUUGUUCCUUUAAAAUUUCUCCCAUUGAUAAAUCAAGGUGAAGGGGGAGAGCAUAAGAAAUCAUGAAAAUAUUAUUUAUAGGCCAUUUUAUUUCACACACACAAUUUUUAGGUUCAAAAGAGACAUAGAUAGAGAAUGAAGAGGAAGAAACAUUGGUUUAUGUGACUCCAGAAAAGUUGGUAACUUCAGAGCCACAUAGGAAAAUAAGAUCCCUAGUUCUCAUUUUGGAUUUUAAAAAAUUUUCAACAGUAAUUGUUACGAG
rnacentral:lncRNA from 12 species